GCCUCGGUGGUCUAAAGGCUUACGAUGCUCGCCCAGAAAGCAAGAGAUCCGGGUUCGACUCCCGGCCGAGGUA
rfam:Trachymyrmex cornetzi contig12255, whole genome shotgun sequence.